rnacentral:rRNA from 1 species
GUGUCAGCAGCCGCGGUAAUACGUAGGUGGCAAGCGUUGUCCGGAUUUACUGGGCGUAAAGCGCGCGCAGGCGGACUGAUCAGUCUGGGGUGAAAUCUCACGGCUCAACUGUGAGCGGUCCCUGGAUACUGUCAGCCUUGAGAGACCUAGAGGAGAGCGGAAUUCCCGGUGUAGUGGUGGAAUGCGUAGAUAUCGGGAAGAACACCAGUGGCGAAAGCGGCUCUCUGGGGGUUUUCUGACGCUGAGGCGCGAAAGCGUGGGGAGCGAACCGGAUUAGAUACCCGGGUAGUCCACGCCGUAAACGAUGAGUACUAGCUGUCGGGGGUAUCGACCCCUCCGGUAGCGCAGCUAACGCGAUAAGUACUCCGCCUGGGGACUACGACCGCAAGGUUAAAACUUAAAUGAAUUGACGGGG